UCACCUCCGCAGGCGGCCGGCCCUGGGCUGGGCUGGGCGAGCAUCUCUCCCAAAGGCUCCCCCUCAAGCAGGACUAGGAGC
rnacentral:pre_miRNA from 1 species